rnacentral:lncRNA from 1 species
CAACACUUUAUUAUAACAUAGUUGAUGGCUGGUGAAAAAGCCUGGGGCAGUUUGAGUCAUGGAUCCCCCAUUUUGAUUCCUGUUUUGGUGGAAACACAAAGUAACCUAAGGCAGAUUAACCUAGGUUCUAUAAAUGAGAUUUAGAGGAUCUGCAGCCCUGUGGGAUGCCGUUACGAAGAAUCCAGAAAUAGUGAGUCCAUCACAAGUACCAUACGCAAUUUCAUUUCCACAUCUUCACUUGGACUUGAAACUCACCAGGAGCACCUUUCUGUUUCCCCUCUACCAAUUCAGGCCAAAGUUCAUCCCGAGUGUGGUUAACACCCAGCUUUCUGCAUUGCAUCAUCCGGAUCCCUCAGCAGUCAUUUGGGAAGCCAGAUACCAUGCUCUCUAGUGUGGUGUUUCAUCCAAGUCUCAAGUGAUGAAAGGAGACAGAAACUCGAAAUGCCUGACUGGCAUGGCAGCAGCCAAGAAGGGCCAACAUCCUGGAUAAGCAACUGGUCAGCCCCUCACAGCAAAACCAUGCAGGUCCCAAAGUGGUCAGAUAGCUGAGCGCAUGGCUGAGACAGCAGCUAGUCCUGUGAGGGCAGAGGGAAUCUCAGGAAAUGUAGACGAUGUCUCUGAUAAAUAUAUGCCUGUCAUAAAGUUUGGAGAACAGAAAGGCCAUCUCUCAUUUUCUCUGAGGAGAGUGCUUUCCUUGAAUUCUCAAAAGCAGUGUGAUACGUUAAUUAUAGUAAUCAAAUGGAACACCCCAACUUUCAUUCUGUGUGCGUAUAACAAGAAUCUUUGCUCCCUAAAAUGGAAUUAGAUUAUAGUAUGUCUGAGAUAGAGAGACAUUCAGUCUGUCCAUCUAUCUCAUAUAAGGGUAACAGUUGGAAAUAGAUUUUCUAAAUUCUAUGUAAGACACGAUAUAUAAAUAACCUAUGGUUUAAAUAAAAAUUUAUUCUAUGGCAAUCAUAUAAAUUUACCAGAAGAUUCAAAUAUGCAGCUUCCACAAGGAAGUAGGCUAGUGGCAAAUUGAUCCUUACAUGAACCCUAAAAAAGAACAACACAUUUCAGUUUCUCUAUGCAGUGACAACUUUCUAUUCUAGGCCUAGCCCCUUGUGGGGCCCACUCCAGUUCCAUCCAGGGAAACAGGUAAUAUUUACAGGACCUGGGGCAUAAGUACAAAAGGAAGCCACUGCCUACAGGCUGGCUCCACCUUCUCUUUUGACCUCCUGCUCACCCACACACCAGAAGGGGCCUCUCAAAUAUUUGUGAGGACACUCCUGCACAUCCAUCUAAGGGGUGUGCACAUAAUGGGAGGGGUGCACCUUAGGGAGGACAGAUAUUGGAAAGGGAUACUGAAGGUUCUGAUGCAUGUUCCACACUGGGCAAAGAAUUCGGGAGUCCCAAAAAGCCACAACAAUGUCUACAAGGGGAUUAUCCUAAUAAAAAUCACAGAAUUGCAUAUCUUGCUGUAGGCAGUUGAGGGCAAUGGACUGACUAUACUCUGUUUAGGCCUAGAGGCCUUUCCAUGAGUUUCUAGGGACAUUGUCAAUAUUGCUUGUUGAUUACUGAUGACAUACUGAUGUUUGGAAGUGAGUGGCUGCAUAUAUCUCUUAUGAGAGAUCAAAGGUUUUGUUUGUUGUAGAGCAAUUUUUGUUAUUCUAUCAGGUAAUCUUGCCAAGGAAUUGAUUAUUGACAUUCAAUAGCUUAUACUGCAGUGCUUAUUUUGAGCAGAGAAAAGAUAAAAUCGAAUGGUGUA